rnacentral:rRNA from 1 species
GACAGAGGGUGCAAACGUUGUUCGGAAUUACUGGGCGUAAAGCGCGUGUAGGCGGCCCUGCAAGUCGGAUGUGAAAUCCCACGGCUCAACCGUGGAAGUGCAUUCGAAACUGCAGGGCUAGAGUCCUGGAGAGGAAGGUGGAAUGCUUGGUGUAGAGGUGAAAUUCGUAGAUAUCAAGCGGAACACCGGUGGCGAAGGCGGCCUUCUGGACAGUGACUGACGCUGAGACGCGAAAGCGUGGGGAGCCAAACAGGG